rnacentral:antisense_RNA from 1 species
UGGAGUGAGAGCUAGUUCAUAACCAUGCUGUUUGGAGGGAAGAAAACUACCUGGAAUUCUUGUUCUCCAAAGAUGUGGAAUUAUCAUCCCAGCAACAGCCGGGAUGUGUUUCACUGCUGUGUCCUGAGGACCCUCAGGUGUGGCCCAUCCAUCCCCUCAGUGUUUACCUCUUGUCCUGAGGACCCUCAGGUGUGGCCCAUCCAUCUCCUUAGUGUUUCCCUCUGUCCUGGGGAUGCUCAGUCUUCCCACACAGGUGGAGACAGGAGGGGAUCCCAUUGCCUGUGAGGAGGACACGGCUCCUGGGUGGAUCCUGCAGAUUGUGAAGUUCAAGUCACAGCUCCUGGGAAGGUCUCUGUGUGUAAAGAUCAUGGGGGCGAGACAGAAGCAGGGACCACACUCUGCUCUGCACCUCUGAGUGUCGAUCCAGCUGCCUUGUGACCAGGACACUUGGAAGAACCAUGGACCCUGCAAGAGGAUGGGCUCAAGGACAGCUUGCCUGAGGGCAGCCAUGAGGAUGAAGCCUCUUCAGGUAGAGAAGGACUCCAGGUGGGGCCUGUGCAGAGGGUUCUUACAGGGGCAGUAGAAUGGGGGUUAUAAAAUCAGUAAAUGGAAAAGGA